rnacentral:rRNA from 1 species
GUUCAUUGGCCUGAUCGGCGAUGCAUCUAGAUUAGAGUUUGAUCCUGGCUCAGGACGAACGCUGGCGGCGUGCUUAACACAUGCAAGUCGAACGAUGAAGCCCUUCGGGGUGGAUUAGUGGCGAACGGGUGAGUAACACGUGGGCAAUCUGCCCUUCACUCUGGGACAAGCCCUGGAAACGGGGUCUAAUACCGGAUACCACUUCGUCCCGCAUGGGACGGGGUUGAAAGCUCCGGCGGUGAAGGAUGAGCCCGCGGCCUAUCAGCUUGUUGGUGGGGUGAUGGCCUGCCAAGGCGACGACGGGUAGCCGGCCUGAGAGGGCGACCGGCCACACUGGGACUGAGACACGGCCCAGACUCCUACGGGGGGCAGCAGUGGGGAAUAUUGCACAAUGGGCGCAAGCCUGAUGCAGCGACGCCGCGUGAGGGAUGACGGCCUUCGGGUUGUAAACCUCUUUCAGCAGGGAAGAAGCGCAAGUGACGGUACCUGCAGAAGAAGCGCCGGCUAACUACGUGCCAGCAGCCGCGGUAAUACGUAGGGCGCAAGCGUUGUCCGGAAUUAUUGGGCGUAAAGAGCUCGUAGGCGGCUUGUCGCGUCGGUUGUGAAAGCCCGGGGCUUAACCCCGGGUCUGCAGUCGAUACGGGCAGGCUAGAGUGUGGUAGGGGAGAUCGGAAUUCCUGGUGUAGCGGUGAAAUGCGCAGAUAUCAGGAGGAACACCGGUGGCGAAGGCGGAUCUCUGGGCCAUUACUGACGCUGAGGAGCGAAAGCGUGGGGAGCGAACAGGAUUAGAUACCCUGGUAGUCCACGCCGUAAACGUUGGGAACUAGGUGUUGGCGACAUUCCACGUCGUCGGUGCCGCAGCUAACGCAUUAAGUUCCCCGCCUGGGGAGUACGGCCGCAAGGCUAAAACUCAAGGAAUUGACGGGGGCCCGCACAAGCAGCGGAGCAUGUGGCUUAAUUCGACGCAACGGCGAGGAACCUACCAAGCUUGACAUACAUCGGAAAGCAUCAGAGAUGGUGCCCCCCUGUGUUCGGUGUACAGGUGGUGCAUGCUGUCGUCAGCUCGUGUCUGGAGAAUGUGGGUUAAGUCCGGCAACGAGGCGCAACACCUUGUCUGUGUGCCAGCAUGGCUUCCGGGGUGAUGGGAACCUCAAGAGACUGGGCGUCACUCGAGAGAUGGACGACGUUUCAGUCAUCAGUCCCCUAAAUGGCUG